GUUCACUAUUCCUUUACAGAUAGAAGAAAAUGUUCUCGUCAAGCAUGGUACUCUUCACCUGGUGGAAACUCUUCUACCCAAUACUUAUUGCAACUGAAAAUUAGCAAUGCGUUUAAUCGCCACAUGUGCAUGAAAUAUUCAGAGAAAUGAGAAACUAAAAAGUAGGAGACCCAACUUUAUACUGAAAGAACUUGAUUCAUUUGAGCAUGGAUCCAUGUUUACUUCCACCGUACAGUAGCUCUUAAAUCUGUCCAGAAGCCUCCAAAUGUUCCUGCAAUUGUACAACAUACGAAGUACAUAUAAGGAUCAUGAAAACCUGAAGAACCACCAGGUUAUCAAAACAAUGCAACCUGUUUUCAUGAUAUAUUGUGGUGAUAUUGUGUUAUGUUAUUAUUAUUUAUGUUGCACCAACAGCAAUUAAAAUGAGAAGCUUUUCUUUACUAGAUGUCUGAUUGAACUUUUUUUUUUUCCCAUGUAAGAAGGGGGAAGAAUAAAGAGAGAAAAAAUUUGGGGGAAGUAAAAAAAAAAGAGGGUACAGAGGGCAAGGCAAAUACACCAAAAUAGCAGUACAGUGUAGUUACAGGAGAUAUGACACUCUUGACAAAUACAUAUGCUAAAAUGGGAAGACCAGGUAAGGUUCCCCACAAGGCCCUGCUAGAGUAGUUGGCGUGAUUGCCUAAUGUUUAACAAAUGUUCCUACCUUACAUUUAAAGCAUCCAACAUUAUUUUAUUACAUGCAACGUGUUGUAGUCAUGCUUUGGUAUAAUGCGUGUCGUGGCCAGGGAAAUAUUGCAGAUAAGAAUCCUUUCUUAUUGAGUUUCAGUAACAAUUUAUGCUGGGUAAAAGGUAUGGACCUCCUAAUAAGGAUUUGUAUAAGACCAUGGAUGUGGACCAAGAAACAUAUUGCAGUUGGGCAGUUCCACAACAUAAUGAAUUGAAAAAAAACUGCUUGUGUGUCUCACAUCCAACACGAAGUGAAGUAAGCUGAUGAGAUUUAGCCAUUACGUUAUGAGAUGGGUGGAUGGUUACUUUUGAAUGGUGUCUAAUAAGGGGAAGCAUUGGCAGUCAUAUCCUGUAGAGCAGUGGGUAUUCUUUGACAUUCUGAAAUUGAGAAAUGUAUAACCUUAAUUUUUCCAUGUGUGCGUGUACAGUAUUUGAAACUACCACAAGAAAAUAAUAAAUCAGGUAUCAAGGAAAAUGUCCCUGAGACCUGUACACCAAUUGGACACUCCAGGGGUGUCCUGAGAGCUUAAACCUAGAUUAAACUCUAAAUAUGCAUUCAAUACCCACUUAGCCCAAUAGAUGUGGGUGAGUGUGACCUGGAAAAGUAUGAAGAGUAAGUGCUAACAAGUACAAAGUAACUAAAGUAUAUACAGUACUAAAUAAAGAGGGAUCGCAUAUCAAAAUCCCAAGAAGUGUCUAGAGUGAAAAAACUAGCCGAGUACCUUUGCCUCUAAAGAUAAAUAUUCUGCGGUCAUCCAAUAGCAAUGCUAAAUAAAGCAGUAUCUGGCCUUUAUUGUGCUAGCCUAUUAUAGCAUAAUAACACAAGCUAUGUCUGUUAUUUGUUCGAAAUAUAAUUGAAAAAAAAGUGUAUAUGA
rnacentral:lncRNA from 1 species